rnacentral:rRNA from 1 species
CCUACGGGAGGCAGCAGUGGGGAAUAUUGCACAAUGGGGGAAACCCUGAUGCAGCGACGCCGCGUGAGUGAAGAAGUAUUUCGGUACGUAAAGCUCUAUCAGCAGGGAAGAAAAUGACGGUACCUGACUAAGAAGCCCCGGCUAACUACGUGCCAGCAGCCGCGGUAAUACGUAGGGGGCAAGCGUUAUCCGGAUGUACUGGGUGUAAAGGGAGCGUAGACGGCAGCGCAAGUCUGGAGUGAAAUCCCAUGGCUUAACCAUGGAACUGCUUUGGAAACUGUGCAGCUAGAGUGCAGGAGAGGUAAGCGGAAUUCCUAGUGUAGCGGUGAAAUGCGUAGAUAUUAGGAGGAACACCAGUGGCGAAGGCGGCUUACUGGACUGUAACUGACGUUGAGGCUCGAAAGCGUGGGGAGCAAACAGGAUUAGAUACCCCAGUAGUC